UUAUGUACCCUGAAAUCAAUUUACGAUUUCGAUGGUUUUUAUUUUCUUCAUCAUUGACAUUGUAGUGGUUGUUGUUGUUUGAUGAUUUGUGAAAUAUGAGAAAAAUGAUUAGAAAUUUUUAUUAGAUUAAACCAUAGUGAGAGUAUUCUAAAAGUCAUGUCUAAAAAUGGGGGCAGUGAGAUAAUAGAGUCUCAAAUUCUUCAAGCUUAAGUCCUCUUUUUUGUUUCUCUCUCUAAAUUUCUCUUUCUCUCUCAUCAUCGUUGGAGAUCCAUCUCCUCCACCACCACCAUGCUCCUCCGAUUCUCUCUCCUCCUGCUUCUUCUCCUUUCUCCGGCCUUCGCUUCCGAGUCAGAUCACAAGCUUUAUGACAUAAAGUUAUGCAUUAUUGGCAACUGGUGUGAUCUCUAAGUAAGUACAGUAUAUAAGUGCUGAAUACGGAUCAGGAGAGAUCAAUUUAAGUACUGUAACAAAGGUCAAGAAAGGAAAGGGAACUUCUGGUGUAUCUGCUACCAACGGUCUAGAUGUUCAUCGUGCCGUGAGGACUGGUUUACCUGAAUCAUUGUCCUGUCAACACGUGUUGUCAUCAAGAAGCCAAGCCAUAGUGGUUCCUUCUCCCGAAUGUCAAAGUCCAGUUGAAUUGGUACAGUCUUAGUAGAGCAUUGUUUCAUAUUAAUAACCAUCUAAUCAGAAUUUGCACGAUAAAAUUUCCCCUUCUCUGAUUUACAGUGAUAGGAAAGAAGCACUUUUAGGUGGUACAUAUCUAAGUUCUAUCUUUUUGAGUCUUCUGCAUCACCAAUAUAUUAUUCAUUGAGUCGAAAUGCCGACUCAAUUUUUUUAGGUUGCUGAAGGUAGAAGGUGCAUUAUCUUAUCAGCUGAAGGAGUUCUUCUCUUGGACUUUUAGAAAGCAUACUUUCUAUUUUCAAUGUUUUGCUAAUUCUAAGUUAACAUGUUAUUUAACUACACAGAUGCAGUUCAGAAUACACUUAAACUUAACAUGAAAGUCCAAGUAGGGGAGCUAGACGGAGUCAAGAGAGUGAUCACAGUCAACUUCAGCCUUCACCUUUGUGAGGUAUAUUGUUGGAAUAAAUGCGGUCCUUUAAUACAAUUCUAGUUUAGUGCAUCAAGUUUUAACCAAUUUAUUGCAGAAAACCCAAUCCGGUGCUCUCGGUAAUCCUCGUUUCUUUCUUCCCUGAUCCAUUUUCCCCUAUUCGGUGAUUUUUUUUAUUUAGAUUUUAUAUUUAUUUUUUUGUUAUUGGGUUGCGGUUUCGGUAAUUGGUUUAAUUAUAAUGGCUACGCUGUUUCUGCACGAGAUGGGUUAUUAUCUCACAACUUAAAUUGUUCAUGAGAUGUCAGUGGACUUGAAUCGUGGAGAGACUCUUCCGAUUCAUAUAAAUAUGACAUUCCCUUCUUUACCUUGUGAUGUUUUGAGUGUGGAUGCUAUUGAUAUGUCGGGCAAGCAUGAGGUGGAUCUUGAUACUAACAUAUGGAAAGAAGAGUUAAAGAAGCACAUGGUAGAGGAGGCAGGUAGCUCACAUAAUUCUCAAGCCAUCAAAGAUUCUACAAGCUGAAAGAAUGAUACUUAUUCAAAGGUUAAAGGGCCCGAAAAGAGAGGACAGUUUUCUGAAGAUCGACAAGUUAACGAGGUCUUACGAGUUAUAACCGAAGAGGUUUGAUUUUGUGUCACCUAUUGACCACAAUCCGGUGAAGUUCAUCUCAAGAUACUCUUCACCUCCCUUUGCUAUACAGAUGUUUACAUGAAAGUGAAGAUACAAGAAUAUUAAAAUAAAAAUAUAUGUGAUUUCUUUUGUAAGAUUUUAAGUAUAUUGAAUGAAACUUUCUAUGUUGAAAUAUUUGAAUUUAAUGUAAAAUAGGAUAAUUUUUUCAUUUUA